rnacentral:rRNA from 1 species
UACGUAGGGACCAAGCGUUGUUCGGAUUUACUGGGCGUAAGGGCGCGUAGGCGGCAAUUCAAGUCAGCUGUGAAAUCUCUGGGCUUAACCCAGAACGGCCAGCUGAUACUGCUUUGCUAGAGUGCAGAAGGGGCAAUCGGAAUUCUUGGUGUAGCGGUGAAAUGCGUAGAUAUCAAGAGGAACACCUGAGGUGAAGACGGGUUGCUGGGCUGACACUGACGCUGAGGCGCGAAAGCCAGGGGAGCAAACGGG